rnacentral:rRNA from 1 species
GUGGGGAAUCUUGCGCAAUGGGCGAAAGCCUGACGCAGCGACGCCGCGUGGGGGAUGAAGCUUUUCGGAGCGUAAACCCCUUUCGACCGGGACGAAUGCCCGCAAGGGCUUGACGGUACCGGUAGAAGAAGCCCCGGCUAACUACGUGCCAGCAGCCGCGGUAAAACGUAGGGGGCCAGCGUUGCUCGGAAUUACUGGGCGUAAAGGGUCUGUAGGCGGUGCGGCAAGUCGGAAGUGAAAUCGCAGGGCUUAACUCUGCGGCUGCUUCCGAAACUGCCGUGCUCGAGUGUGAGAUAGGCGAGUGGAAUUGCAGGUGUAGCGGUGAAAUGCGUAGAUAUCUGCAGGAACAUCCGAGGCGAAAGCGGCUCGCUGGAUCACAACUGACGCUGAGAGACGAAAGCUAGGGGAGCAAACAGGAUUAGAAACCCCAGUAGUCC